CCUACGGGCGGCUGCAGUGAGGAAUAUUGGUCAAUGGCCGGAAGGCUGAACCAGCCAUGCCGCGUGAAGGUCAGUGCCCUAUGGGCGUUAAACUUCGUUUGUGCGGGAGCAAUAAUGGUCACGUGUGGCCAGACGAGAGUACCGUACGAAUAAGCAGCGGCUAACUCCGUGCCAGCAGCCGCGGGAAUACGGGGGAUGCAAGCGUUAUCCGGAUUUAUUGGGUGUAAAGGUGGCGUAGGCUGUGAGGUAAGUCAUCGGUGAAAUGCCCCCGCUCAACGGGGUGAAGUGCCAUUGUUACUGCCGUGCUGGAAUGCGGAUGCCGUGGGAGGAAUGUCUGGUGUAGCGGUGAAAUGCAUAGAUAUCACACAGAACACCGAUUGCGAAGGCAUCUCACGAAUCCGCGAUUGACGCUGAUGCACGAAAGCGUGGGUAUCAAACAGGAUUAGAUACCCUAGUAGUC
rnacentral:rRNA from 1 species